rnacentral:rRNA from 1 species
GUGGGGAAUUUUGGACAAUGGGCGCAAGCCUGAUCCAGCCAUUCCGCGUGCAGGAUGAAGGCCUUCGGGUUGUAAACUGCUUUUGUACGGAACGAAAAGGUUCUCUCUAAUACAGGGGGCUGAUGACGGUACCGUAAGAAUAAGCACCGGCUAACUACGUGCCAGCUGCCGCGGUAAUACGUAGGGUGCAAGCGUUAAUCGGAAUUACUGGGCGUAAAGCGUGCGCAGGCGGUGAUGUAAGACAGAUGUGAAAUCCCCGGGCUCAACCUGGGAACUGCAUUUGUGACUGCAAGGCUGGAGUGCGGCAGAGGGGGAUGGAAUUCCGCGUGUAGCAGUGAAAUGCGUAGAUAUGCGGAGGAACACCGAUGGCGAAGGCAAUCCCCUGGGCCUGCACUGACGCUCAUGCACGAAAGCGUGGGGAGCAAACAGGAUUAGAUACCCGUGUAGUCC